GGCUUCGCCGCCCGCGAGGAAAACACAACACAACACCGCAACAAGAGAGAGAGAGAGAGAGAAAGAGAGAAACACGUUGAAUUUUCUAAUCUCAUCCUUUUUGGACCCCAACAAAUAACAAUCUCUCCCUCUCUCUCUCUCUGUUUCUUUCUCUCUCUUUCUCCCACAACCAAACGAAACCCUAACGAAGACCCUUCUUCAUCCUCCCCUCGAUUUCAAUCCCAUGCUCUGAUCCCUUCUCUCUUCCCCCACCCCUUUACACAGGUUUCAUGUAACUUGAGUUUGGUUAGACAAGAAAUAAUUGAUGGAUGAUGAUAGUACAGAUGGAUAAAAUGUCUGCUCCUUCAUCAUGGGAGCGUGCACAACGCCUUUAUGAAAAGAACCUUGAAUUGGAGAGUAAACGUCGGAGGUCAGCUCAGGCGCGAGUACCAUCUGAUCCAAAUGCUUGGCAACAGAUGCGUGAGAAUUAUGAAGCAAUAAUUCUUGAGGAUCAUGCUUUUUCUGAGCAGCAUAAUAUUGAGUAUGCUCUUUGGCAGUUGCAUUAUAAGCGUAUUGAAGAGUUUAGGGCAUACUUCAGUGCUGCUCUUUCUUCUACAAGUGCAAACUCAUCUCAGGGAGGGAAAGGCCCUGCACGUCCUGAUCGGAUCACUAAAAUAAGGCUACAGUUUAAGACUUUCCUCUCAGAAGCAACUGGAUUUUACCAUGAUCUUAUUACGAAAAUCAGAGCAAAGUAUGGGCUUCCUCUUGGUUACUUUGAGGAUUCAGAGAAUCGGAUUGUAAUGGAAAAAGAUGGGAAGAAAUCUGCUGAGAUGAAGAAAGGUUUAGUAUCUUGUCAUCGUUGUCUGAUAUAUUUGGGUGAUCUUGCUCGUUAUAAAGGAAUGUAUGGUGAAGGUGACUCAAUAAACCGGGAGUUCAUAGCAGCUUCGAGUUACUACUUGCAAGCUGCAUCUCUUUGGCCUUCAAGUGGGAAUCCCCAUCAUCAGCUUGCUUUAUUGGCUUCAUAUUCUGGGGAUGAGCUGGUGGCUAUUUAUCGGUAUUUUCGUAGUCUGGCUGUGGAUAGUCCAUUUACAACUGCAAGAGAAAACUUGAUAGUUGCAUUUGAUAAGAAUCGUCAAAGCUUCUCUCAGCUUCCUGGUGAUGCUAAAGCUGUUGCAGUGAAGGAAUCUUCUGGGCGAUUAACCGGCAAAGGAAGAGGAAAAGUUGAAGCAAAGCUUGCAACAAGGGGAACUGGUGUUGAUGCCAGUCCUAAAACUGAAGGAGCAUCCAGUAUGCAAGAAACUUAUAAGUACUUCUGCACUCGUUUUGUCCGUCUGAAUGGAAUCUUAUUUACGCGUACAAGCCUUGAGACCUUCACUGAAGUUCUUGCUGUUGUUAGUACUGGCCUGCGUGAGCUUCUGUCUUCAGGGAAAGAUGAAGAUCUGAAUUUUGGGACAGAUGCUCCUGAAAAUGCACUUGCCAUUGUCAGAAUUGUCUGCAUUCUUGUAUUUACAGUUUAUAAUGUGAAUAAAGAAUCUGAAGGUCAAACAUAUGCAGAAAUUGUACAGCGCGCUGUUCUGCUUCAGAAUGCAUUUACUGCAGCUUUUGAAUUGAUGGGUUACAUAAUAGAGAGAUGUGCACAACUUUGUGAUCCUUCUUCUAGUUAUCUUUUACCAGGCAUUUUGGUUUUUGUCGAGUGGUUAGCUUGUUAUCCAGAUCUUGCAGCUGGCAAUGAUGUGGAUGAAAAUCAGGCAACGUUGAGAUCAAAGUUUUGGAAUCGUUGUAUAUCCUUCUUGAAUGAGCUGCUUUCAGUGGGGUCUCUGUCUAUUGAUGAUGAUGAAGAGGAGACUUGCUUUAAUAACAUGAGCAGGUAUGAAGAGGGGGAAACUGAAAACCGACUUGCUUUGUGGGAGGACUUUGAGUUAAGGGGAUUUGUUCCACUUCUUCCUGCACAAACCAUAUUGGAUUUUUCAAGGAAGCAUUCUGUUGGAAGUGAUGGGGAUAAGGAAAGAAAAGCUCGGGUCAAAAGGAUUUUAGCUGCAGGGAAGGCUUUAGCAAAUGUUGUUAAGGUUGAACAAAAACUAAUAUAUUUUGAUUCAAAGGCGAAGAAAUUUAUAAUUGGUGUUGAGCCUCAAACCCAUGAUGAUUUUGUUCUUGCCGCCUAUUCAGGCAUGCCAAAUGCAAAAGAGUUUGUGCAAGAGAAUCCAGCAGAGAAGUCAAAGAUGGAAAAUGUUCACUCAAACCAAAACCAGUAUAUUGAAGGAGAUGAUGAUGAUGAAGUUAUUGUUUUCAAGCCUGUAGUGUCUGAGACACGAGCUGAGGUUGUGGCCUCGUCAUGGGCACCCCAUGUGGGUUUGGAGCCUGUUAUGAAAGCAUCUGGAGGGGAUUUAAAAUUUCAUGUUAAUUCUACAUCUAACCCUCUAAAUAAUGUAAAUCAUCAAACUUUUACUGUUCCUGGUAAUGGUAUGGUUCCUCAACAUCUGCAACCAGUGCAGCCCCAUACAUCGAGGUGGUUAGAGGAGGAAAUUUCUCUUGCUAACAAUUUAAAAGGUCUUGGAUUAUUUGAGAAUGGGCAUGUCAUGAAACCUGGCUUACAAGAAGCUUUAGGCAUCCCUAGCCAGGUUUCACUUCCUAUUCCUAUCCAACAAUCUAUCAAUGCUGAUACUAAUGGUGUGCUUUAUGGUCUUUCAAAAGCUUUAGAAUCUGUGAUACCAUCCAAAAUCGAUGCCGUUGCAUCAUCUGGGGUAGUUUUUGAUAACUUAGCUGUAAAAACAUCAGCCUUGCCAGUUGGUUUGAGAAAAUCCCCUGUCAGUCGACCUACUAGGCACCUUGGACCUCCUCCUGGUUUCAGUCCUGUUCCUCCUAAACAAGGUAUUGAAUCCACUGUUUCAGAUUCAAUUAGUGGGAAUCCAAUUAUGGAUGAUUACAGUUGGUUGGACGGAUAUCAUUUGCGUCCAUCAAUGAAAGGUUUAGGCCCCAAUGUUCCUCUUAACUACUCUCAGUCAAAUUCUCAGCAAGUCAGUAACAAUGGCUUGAGUGGACCUGUCAGCUUUCCUUUUCCUGGAAAACAAGUUCCAUCUAUGCCUCUUCAGUUGGAGAAGCAGAAUGGUUGGCAAGACUAUCAAACUUCUGAGCUUUUAAAAUCACACCAUGAUCAGCAGCUGCAGCCACAGCAACUCACAACUGGAAAUCAGCAGUUUUCUUCUCUGCCUGAGCAAUUUCAAGGACAGUCAAUCUGGACAGGUCGUUACUUUGUGUGAUGUCAGUAUGAGAGUAUAGAUGGCUUAUUGCGAAUGUGCUGCAUCCUUUUGCUACUCAGUCAAACUCCAACUUUGCUGCCUUGUCAUUGAAUGUUGUUGGAGUUUUGUUGGCCUUGACUUGUUGCAGGCACUUGCUACUUCAAAAGAAUAUGCUGAGCUCUUCAGCCCGGACGAAGGAAGUUAAACAAGCAUCUUUACAGUUCAGAAGUUCGUAAGAAGUAAAUGCCUUGUCUGGUUGGUUGGGGUGGAUAGGUGGUGAUAAAUAAAAGACUAUUCAGUCGUCUUGGAGCUUAUAUCUUCUGGGAUUGGUGGUGUUGCAAUGGUUUGUUCACUUCUCUAGUGGAAAUGUCAUAAUGAUGCACCUGUAAAAAUCGUUGUUGCCAUCAUUUGGUUGCAAGUGGUACAUAGUGCCUAGCCCUUUUUUCUGCCGCAAUGCUUCAGACUAUUUAGUUGGGAAGGUUGGUAGAUAAGAAGUGGGUGUCAAAGUUGGAUAAUGGGAUAUGAUAUUUGACAAUUAUGGGGCUCACUUGUGUGAGUACAUGUGUUUAGUUGUUGCGUCUUCGUUAAGGUUCUUAUUCUGUGUUGUGUAUGACGAGUGGUCUGUGGUUCACUUACCUUUUUUUUUCUAUGUCAAGGGGUUGACUCGAACUUCAAAAUAAAUUGGUGGAUAGUUGAACACAUAUCCAUCUUGGCCUGUAUGAAUACAAUGAUGAAUUAUCUAUCUGUUGGAUUUAGCAUUUUUUAUUGCCUGUUUUGUUUAAUUUUUCAUGUUUGUCCAGUAGUGUCUGUAGGAUUAUUAUGAAUAGUUUUCAUAUUCUUUUAUGCUGCUGGGGGAUAUUGUUUAGAGGGUGGGUUAUGGUUCUACUUAAAGCAAUCCGUGUUAAUAUUUUUGAAUUACUGAUUCUUACAUAGGCCUUCAAAGGAGGAUGACAAUGAUAUUCAUUAAUUGAAUAUGUGACUCUAGUAGAAAGUCUGUUUCCAUGUUUUAUAAAUGAUAUUAUGAUUUAUAACAUUUAAUUUUAAUGC